CAGUGGUUCUCUUGAAGGAGUAGCAGUGGUCCUCUGGAAGGAGUGGCAGUAGUCCUCUUGAAGGAGUGGCAGUGGUCCUCUUGAACUAGCGGUGGCGGCGGGGGUGGUAGUCCUCCACUAUGCUAAUACCUCCAGUAUAUCAGAGAAGCGUCUUACCUCGCCACUGCCACAAGUUUCACCUCUCCUAAACUCCCGUACUUUGCGCUAAAAUAUGAAACGUAAUAAAUCAACAUGUUUAUUUUACGGUACUUGGCGGCGGCGGCGGCGGCGGCUGCGGCGGCGAUGAGGCUGCUGCUGGCGAAAGCAGGCGAAUGAGCCGCCCUCUGCUGUUUACAGAGGGCGGAGGAGGCGGAGUCUGACUUGGCUGUGCGAUGGAUGACUCUUGCUGCCACUGCAACGUUUCUCUGUUAUUUCGUGUUUACUCCAAAUAUAUCCACUAUUCUUGCAUUUAUGUGUUGGUAGUCACUGCUCUGUGGGUCUGUCUGCGAGUGUGCUGUUAAUGUACGAUGAGACGAAGUGAGUUGUUGAGGGAUAAUGAAUGUGAUGGAAGAGUUGGUAAUCGCCAUGAUGGUAGCGAGGGAGAUGCUGUGUGAUUGGUCUUGAGAGAGACUCCUCCCUUGAUCACGGUAGCGCCGCCUCCGCCGCCUCCAUCCUAUAAAUACCAAGCUUCAUAACGGCUCGCUAGAUUUCUCAUUACCCUGGUGUUGUGGGGACUGCUGCUGUGUGUCUCACUCUCUCUCUCUCUUUCUCAUUGGCCAACAUGGAGAAGCCGUCGCCUGUGUCGGAGCACAAGCCCAGGUUGUCCUUUAGUAUAGACUCCAUCCUGGGGCGUCGCCACACCCCUGUCAGUUCCUCCACAACGUCCCCGGAGCUAGAUUGUCGUCCCGCCUCAUCGUGCAGUGCUUCCAGCGACGCCUCCUGUCGUCCCGCCUCGUCGUGCAGUGCCUCCAGCGACGUGUCGUUCCUCAGUCAGGACUCCGAGCGGUCGCAGAGUCCCGCAGCAGCGGCGGCGGCGGCAGUGCGUCCCCUCCAGCAAAUGGUUCCUUCACAGUGGUUCCCUGCUCAUCCUUACUUCCAGUUCGCCGCCUCCGCUCAUGGUGGUCCUACCCUGCCUAAGCUGCCCAGCUCUGUGGUGUUGCGGAAACACAAACCCAACAGGAAGCCACGGACGCCCUUCACCUCGGAACAACUGCUGGCGCUGGAGAAGAAGUACCGUGAGAAGCAGUACCUGAGCAUCGCUGAGCGGGCAGAGUUCUCCGCCUCGCUCAACCUGACGGAGACGCAGGUCAAGAUCUGGUUUCAGAACCGCCGCGCCAAGGACAAGCGCCUGAAGGAAGCCGAACUGGAGCGACUGACGAGGCCUCUGUACCCGGCCUACGGCGGCCUCCUGCCCCUGGGAGGCCACCUGCCCUCCUUGCCUCUCCAGCGACCCCUCGUGCCCCUCCUCGGGUAGUGCACUGUGAUGCGCGUCCCUGAGGUAGCCUCAGCAGCUCCGGCUGCUAUCUCCGUCAGGCUGCACCUCCCACACCUCCGUCAGGCUGCACCUCCCACACCUCCGUCCAGCCUACAGUCAUCCUCACACAGAUUCAUCAGUCGCUCUUGGUUACGCCGCCCACACCACACCCAUGCCGCCCACACCACACCCAUGCCGCCCACAUCACAACCAUGCCGCCCACUUAACUCACGCCCACACCACCCACACCCCACCACCCUACAUGACCCUUACCCCCCCCACCAACACAUACACCAACGACGCUAACACUGCCCACGCCGCCCACACGCCCACGCCGCCCGCACGCCCACGCCCUCACUGCUGCAAGACGGAGUUAUUAACUGUGAUAAUAAUAAUACAUCUCUGCAGUAAAUGUAAAAUUAUUUAUUUUGUAAAUAUUAAAAAUAAAA